UCGCCAUUAGCUUAGUGGUAAAGUGCCAAGCUUAUAUCUUGGCGUCGACAGUUCGAUUCUGUCAUGGCGUA
rnacentral:tRNA from 1 species